GGCUGCUGGAGUUGUCAGUUAUAACCGCCAGGAUUGUGUUGAACGGAAAUAUACGUGUGGCAGACGUGAUGGCAACAUUCGAAAGGUACGGCCAUUUGGUGGGGUCAAUUGACCAAGGUUCAAGUAGCACUCGGUUUUCGGUAUUUUCAAGCAAGACAGGAGAAAUGAUUGCAUCCCACCAAGUGGAAUCGGAGAUCCUCACACCGCAUAAAAGGUUGACC